GAUGAACGCUGGCGGCGUGCCUAAUACAUGCAAGUCGAGCGAACAGACGAGGAGCUUGCUCCUCUGACGUUAGCGGCGGACGGGUGAGUAACACGUGGAUAACCUACCUAUAAGACUGGGAUAACUUCGGGAAACCGGAGCUAAUACCGGAUAAUAUAUUGAACCGCAUGGUUCAAUAGUGAAAGACGGUUUUGCUGUCACUUAUAGAUGGAUCCGCGCCGCAUUAGCUAGUUGGUAAGGUAACGGCUUACCAAGGCGACGAUGCGUAGCCGACCUGAGAGGGUGAUCCGCCACACUGGAACUGACACACGGUCCAGACUCCUACGGGAGGCAGCAGUAGGGAAUCUUGCGAAAUGGGCGAACGCCUGACGGAGCAACGCCGCGUGAGUGAUGAAGGUCUUCGGAUCGUAAAACUCUGUUAUGAGGGAAGAAAAAAUGUGUAAGUAACUAUGCACGUCUUGACGGUACAUAAUCAGAAAGCCACGGAUAACUACG
rnacentral:rRNA from 1 species